rnacentral:rRNA from 1 species
GAGCUAAUACAUGCCAACAAGCUCGAACUUACGUGAGGGGCGCUUUUAUUAGAUCAAAACCAAUCGGCUUCGGCUGUUUUCUUGGUGACUCUGAAUAACUUUGGGCUGAUCGCAUAGCCUUGCGCUGGCGACAUAUCCUUCGAAGGUGUGCCCUAUCAACUGUCGACUGUGGCAUAGACGCCCACAGUGGUUUUGACGGGUAACGGGGAAUCAGGGUUCGAUUCCGGAGAGGGAGCCUUAAAAACGGCUACCACAUCUAAGGAAGGCAGCAGGCACGCAAAUUACCCAAUGACCGAAGGUCGAGGUAGUGACGAAAAAUAGCGAUCCAGGACUCAUCCGAGGCCCUGGAAUCGGAAUGAGUACACUUUAAAACCGUCCCCGAGGAUCUAUUGGAGGGCAAGUCUGGUGCCAGCAGCCGCGGUAAUUCCAGCUCCAAUAGCGUAUAUUAAAGUUGUUGUGGUUAAAAAGCUCGUAGUUGGAUUUCGGCGGGUAUUGGUCGGUUUGAAUUGCUUCAAUACUGACUUUUUUACCCGUGUGUUUUGCCAGAAUUUAACGGGUGAUCUUCGCCGAUUGUCUGUUAGAACUGGCAGGUUUACUUUGAAAAAAUUAGAGUGCUCAAAGCAAGCUUGAUUGCUUGAAUAUUCGUGCAUGGAAUAAUGAAAUAGGAAGUCGUUUCUAUUUUGUUGGUUUUCGGAAAUCGACUUAAUGAUUAAUAGGGACAGUCGGGGGCAUUUGUAUUCAAACGACAGAGGUGAAAUUCUUGGACCGUUUGAAGACUGACUACAGCGAAAGCAUUUGC